rnacentral:pre_miRNA from 1 species
UGCUAUGUAAUAAAGUGCUUACAGUGCAGGUAAUGGUUAUUCCCUAUAUCUACCGCAAUGUGAGCACUUCUGUCACAAAGCA